AACGAACGCUGGCGGUGUGCUUAACACAUGCAAGUCGAACGAGAAAGUUUCCUUCGGGAACUAGUAAAGUGGCGCAAGGGUGAGUAACACGUGAAUAAUCUGCCCUCGAGACUGGGAUAACCUGAGGAAACUUAGGCUAAUACCGGAUAAGACCACAUUUCAUAUGGGAUGUGGGAAAAGGAGUCUCAAUCUUCACUCGAGGAUGAGUUCGCGGACCAUUAGCUUGUUGGUGUGGUAAUGGCUCACCAAGGCAUCGAUCAGUAGCUGGUCUGAGAGGAUGAUCAGCCACACUGGGACUGAGACACGGCCCAGACUCCUACGGGAGGCAGCAGUGGGGAAUAUUGCGCAAUGGGCGAAAGCCUGACGCAGGCAACGCCGCGUGAGGGAUG
rnacentral:rRNA from 1 species